rnacentral:rRNA from 1 species
GGAUUAGAUACCCUGGUAGUCCACGCAGUAAACGAUGUACACUAGGUGUAGCGGGUAUUAAAACUUGCUGUGCCGCAGUUAACACAUUAAGUGUACCGCCUGGGGAGUACGGUCGCAAGACUAAAACUCAAAGGAAUUGACGGGGGCCCGCACAAGCGGUGGAGCAUGUGGUUUAAUUCGACAACGCGAAGAACCUUACCUGGGUUUGACAUCCUGUGAAUCUGAUAGAGAUAUUGGAGUGCCUUCGGGAGCACAGAGACAGGUGCUGCAUGGCUGUCGUCAGCUCGUGCCG